UCAAGAAACUUCCACAAUGGGCGAAAGCCUGAUGGAGCGACGUCGCGUGAUGGACGAAGUGCUUCGGCACGUAAACAUCUUUUAUGUGGGAUGAAAUUAUUGACAGUACCACAUGAAUAAGGGGCUCCUAACUCUGUGCCAGCAGGAGCGGUAAUACAGAGGCCCCAAGCGUUAUCCGGAAUCACUGGGCGUAAAGGGUGUCGAGGCGGUUGUAUUAGUCGUCCGUAAAAUCUACGAGCUUAACUUGUAGGCGGCGAACGAAACGGUACGACUUGAGGUUUGGAGAGGUGCGUGGAACUCACGGUGUAGGGGUGAAAUCCGUUGAUAUCGUGGGGAACACCAAAGGCGAAGGCAGCGCACUGGCCAAAAUCUGACGCUCACACACGAAAGCUAGGGUAGCGAAGAGGAUUAGGUACCCAAGUAGUCCCUGAGCGGGGCUGGCAAGGCGCAU
rnacentral:rRNA from 1 species